AGCAGCCGCUCUGCUCAGAGACCCGUGGAAAUCUGAAUAAAUCUAACACCCCCCAAACAUCUCCUGUCUCCGUGUUGCGCGUGGGGAGAGGUGAAGGACGCCCCCAGAGAUCUUCAAGGAGUGCCCGUGAGCAAGGGAGGGAGGGCCCUGCUGCGGGAGGAGGGCAGGAAGACGGUGGUUCUUGAAGGCUCUCCUGGUCCAAAUCACAGGAGGCAGGUGGAGAUAGGGCAGGCACAUUGAGGCCCCUGUGGAAUGUGAGCUGGGGGUCCUCAGGGUGAGUCAGUCCUGUGGCCUGGGGAGAGAAGGAUUUCUCAGAGGAGAAAGUCUUUCCAAUGGGGCUUGGAAGAAAAGGAUGUCAGGAGAGAAGGCUCCCUUUUGGGUUGUUCAUCAAUUAUUCCAUCCCUCUUCUGUUGGGUACAAAUAGUCAGAAGUAGUUGUAAGUUAGUGGUGCCUGUCCAGGUCCAGAAUCCUAUGUAUUUGCCUUGCUGUGUGGGCGUGAUGGGCAUAUUUAGGUCCAGCUGGAACCAUCCGGGUAUCUAGGUGUGAGAUUGUUGGAAGGAGUGUUCUAAGGGUCAUUCAUGUGGGCGCCACAGUGUCCUUCCCAGCACAGCCAUGGCAGUAGCAAUAACCACAGCAAAUGUUCGAGUCCUGCCACAGGCCAGGCAGAAGACACGUGUCAUCUUCUCAAUAACCUGAUGAGGUGGAUAGUGCCGUCAUGCCCAUUUUACAGAGGAGAAAGCUGAGGCACGGAAAGAUGAAGUCAUCUGCCCAGGCUUACAGAGCUGGUUACCGGUCAUCUCCAGGCCAACUCAGUUUCCAGCACCCUGUGAGUCACAUUAGGGACACGGGAAAGGCAAAGAUCCUGUCUUAUCCUCCCCUAAAGGGCAUUUUGGUGAGGAAGGCGAGGCCUCACCAGAAAAAGCCUUAUUGCGGAAUUAAACUUUCCAGCCUAACACGGCAACUCCAGUCCUAAAAUGCAGACAUGUUCACCAGAAGACGUACACAAGGAUGUGCCCAGCAGCACUGCAAUAAGUAGACGUAUCAGGGUAUUCUCAUACACGGGCGAGUACUUGGCAAGGAGAAUGAAUAAGCUGUCGCCACACACAGCACCGUGGAGGAAUCUCACGCACAGGAUGUUGUGCAUAAGAACAAGACAAGCCGUAAGAGAAAGCAGCCAGUGUGAAUCCAUUUAUCUGAAAUUCAAAAACUGGUCGGAUUGAUAACAUUAGAACUCAGGAGAGAG